rnacentral:rRNA from 1 species
UACGUAGGGGGCAAGCGUUGUCCGGAUUUAUUGGGCGUAAAGAGCGUGUAGGCGGCUUUACAGGUCCGUUGUGAAAACUCGAGGCUCAACCUCGAGACGCCGGUGGAAACCGUAAGGCUAGAGUCCGGAAGAGGAGAGUGGAAUUCCUGGUGUAGCGGUGAAAUGCGCAGAUAUCAGGAGGAACAUCCGUGGCGAAAGCGGCUCUCUGGGACGGUACUGACGCUGAGGAGCGAAAGCGUGGGGAGCGAACAGG